CUGUAGUUCUAUGGCAUGGGGACUCUGUCCUCCUGCUGUGGUUCUGCAUCUUUACGACACACAAUGUGAUAGAGUCUCAUGGAAUGUACACCGCGUUUAACGCAAUACAAUACAACUUUCAGCAACGGAUCUCUUGGCUCUCGCAUCGAUGAAGAACGCAGCGAAAUGCGAUAAGUAAUGUGAAUUGCAGAAUUCAGUGAAUCAUCGAAUCUUUGAACGCACCUUGCGCCCUUUGGCUAUUCCGAAGGGCAUGCCUGUUUGAGUAUCAUGAACACCUCAACUCUCAUGGUUGCCAUGAAGAGCUUGGACUUUGGGGGUUUUGCUGGCCUGAGGUCAACUCUCCACAAACGAAUCAGCUUGCCAGUGUUUUGGUGGCAUCGCAAGUGUGAUAACUAUCUACGCUUGUGGAUUCCACCAGCAACCUUCAGUGAUAUGAAGGUUCGCUGGAGCUUAUAAAUGUCUCUAUCA
rnacentral:rRNA from 1 species